rnacentral:lncRNA from 1 species
GUCAGCUGAGUUUUUACAUUAAAGUGAUAACUACUUAUGUCAUUCCCAGGAUACAAAUUGAAUAUACUGGGCAAAGCCUAAAGGCACAGGAGGGCUCCUUCAUUUCCCACAGGGGUAUGCUACAGAGCCAGGGAACCUGAAACAGAGACGUGGCCGGUCACUGCGGGUGAGCAGGUGACCAAAAGGAUAUUUUCUCCAGAAUCAACCCAAGGGCUCCAGGUAAUGUCCUCCAGGUAAGGGAGCACUCGGCAUUUCCCAGUCCCGCGCUCCAUGCAGGGCUGGGCAGGCACAAGAGGUGCUUUGCUCCCCACCUCGCUGGGAUCGGUGUCAGCAAAGAUCCCCGCGGUCAUUCCCCAGGAUGCGAGAGUCAAAGCGGAUUAAGGGUCCCUCAGCUGAUCACAUUUAUUUCAUUAUUUGAGUGAAAUCCCUUGUAAAUACCAUCCCCCCUCCCCUUUUCUUUUUAUAAAAAUAGAAGGCACGGAAGAAUUGCAGAUUUAGGGAAAGUUAAUCUCAGGACUUGCAUAAAACACUUAACCUCUUGUGGCCUGAGCAACCACAAGGGGAGAAGCUCCUCCAGCCUCCAAAGCAAGCUCCUCCCAGGACCAGCAGGCUUCUGCAAGACCAUCAGAGCUGAAAAUCCAGACCUGCAGAGAUUAAUUAAAAUAAGUGCAGCGAAGUUGGAGCGGAAAGCUGCAAUGAUGAAUGCUAGCGAAACACUUGCCCAGAGACCAAAGCGCUCCAAGUGUUCAGUGAUAUUUUUCUCCAGCUGAAGGUCUGUGCAAUAGUUACACACGUGGUGUAAAGGAACCUGCCGCUGCCAUCUGGGUGCAGGUGCCCUGUGAGGAUGCUCUGUCCCCUUUGGGAUUUGCACCUCCAAGCUGCCAGCAUUGGUUUGUCAUGGUUUGCUUCCCUGGGCUGCAAGAGGGUUUUAUUUGCUUUAAAUCCUAAACCUAAAGAUGGGUAUUAAUAGCACAGCAACGCAUAGCCUUCGUGGCCAGCACAUGCCAGGGGUUAUGUAAAACACAGAUUAAUGGGAAUCAGUGAAAUAGGGGAGCACACGAAGGGAAUGACUUGGGAGGGAGGCAGGAGGGAGCCGGCAAAAUGAGAUGAAACCCCCCAGCGUGGCGUGACUGCCCUGUCCCAAGCAGAUACAUAGGUAAAGAAAGCCUGGGGGUUGUCCAGAACCCCUUCCCACUCCUUCUGCUCUGUGAUAGGUGGGAGAGA